AGAGUUUGAUCAUGGCUCAGAACGUACGCUGGCGGCACGCCUAAUACAUGCAAGUCGAACGAAGUAGCAAUACUUAGUGGCAGACGGGUGAGUAACAUGUAGGUAUCUACCCUUUGGCCUGGAAUAACACGAGGAAACUUGUGCUAAUACCGGAUAAGUCUUUACGGAGAAAGCUUUAUGCACCAUUGGAUGAGCCUGCACUUGAUUAGUUUGUUGGUGGGGUAAUGGCCUACCAAGACAAUGAUCAAUAGCUGAUUUGAGAGGAUGAUCAGCCACAUUGGGACUGAGACACGGCCCAAACUCCUACGGGAGGCAGCAGUAGGGAAUCUUGCACAAUGGAGGAAACUCUGAUGCAGCGAUGCCGCGUGAGUGAAGAAGGCCUUUGGGUUGUAAAGCUCUUUCGUCGGGGAAGAAAAUGGCUGUACCCGAAUAAGAAGGUCCGGCUAACUUCGUGCCAGCAGCCGCGGUAAUACGAAGGGACCUAGCGUAGUUCGGAAUUACUGGGCUUAAAGAGUUCGUAGGUGGUUAAAAAAGUUGGUGGUGAAAUCCCAGAGCUUAACUCUGGAACUGCCAUCAAAACUUUUUAGCUAGAGUAUGAUAGAGGAAAGCGGAAUUUCUAGUGUAGAGGUGAAAUUCGUAGAUAUUAGAAAGAAUACCGAUUGCGAAGGCAGCUUUCUGGAUCAUUACUGACACUG
rnacentral:rRNA from 1 species